UUUAUGGAGAGUUUGAUCCUGGCUCAGAGUGAACGCUGGCGGCGUGCCUAAUACAUGCAAGUCGAACGAUGAAGCUUUUAGCUUGCUAGAAGUGGAUUAGUGGCGCACGGGUGAGUAAGGUAUAGUUAAUCUGCCCUACACAAGAGGACAACAGUUGGAAACGACUGCUAAUACUCUAUACUCCUGCUUAACACAAGUUGAGUAGGGAAAGUUUUUCGGUGUAGGAUGAGACUAUAUAGUAUCAGCUAGUUGGUAAGGUAAUGGCUUACCAAGGCUAUGACGCUUAACUGGUCUGAGAGGAUGAUCAGUCACACUGGAACUGAGACACGGUCCAGACUCCUACGGGAGGCAGCAGUAGGGAAUAUUGCGCAAUGGGGGAAACCCUGACGCAGCAACGCCGCGUGGAGGAUGACACUUUUCGGAGCGUAAACUCCUUUUCUUAGGGAAGAAUUCUGACGGUACCUAAGGAAUAAGCACCGGCUAACUCCGUGCCAGCAGCCGCGGUAAUACGGAGGGUGCAAG
rnacentral:rRNA from 1 species